rnacentral:rRNA from 1 species
GACGAACGCUGGCGGCGUGCUUAACACAUGCAAGUCGAACGGAAAGGCCCUGCUUUUGUGGGGUGCUCGAGUGGCGAACGGGUGAGUAACACGUGAGUAACCUGCCCUUGACUUUGGGAUAACUUCAGGAAACUGGGGCUAAUACCGGAUAGGAGCUCCUGCUGCAUGGUGGGGGUUGGAAAGUUUCGGCGGUUGGGGAUGGACUCGCGGCUUAUCAGCUUGUUGGUGGGGUAGUGGCUUACCAAGGCUUUGACGGGUAGCCGGCCUGAGAGGGUGACCGGCCACAUUGGGACUGAGAUACGGCCCAGACUCCUACGGGAGGCAGCAGUGGGGAAUAUUGCACAACGGGCGGAAGCCGGAUGCAGCAACGCCGCGUGCGGGAUGACGGCCUUCGGGUUGUAAACCGCUUUCGCCUGUAACGAAGCGUGCGUGACGGUAAUGGGUAAAGAAGCACCGGCUAACUACGU